UACGGAGGAUGCGAGCGUUAUCCGGAUUUAUUGGGUUUAAAGGGUGCGCAGGCGGAUUUUUAAGUCAGCGGUCAAAUCGUGGGGCUCAACCCCAUCCAGCCGUUGAAACUGGGGAUCUAGAGUGGGCGAGAAGUAUGCGGAAUGCGUGGUGUAGCGGUGAAAUGCAUAGAUAUAUGGAAGAACACCAGUGGCGAAGGCGGCCGCCUGGCCUGUUACUGACGCUGAGGCACGAAAGCGUGGGGAGCAAAUAGG
rnacentral:rRNA from 1 species